GACGAACGCUGGCGGCGUGCUUAACACAUGCAAGUCGAACGGUAAGGCCCUUCGGGGUACACGAGUGGCGAACGGGUGAGUAACACGUGGGUGAUCUGCCCUGCACUUCGGGAUAAGCCUAGGAAACUGGGUCUAAUACCGGAUAGGACCACUGCCUGCAUGGGUGGUGGUGGAAAGCUUUUGCGGUGUGGGAUGGGCCCGCGGCCUAUCAGCUUGUUGGUGGGGUGAUGGCCUACCAAGGCGACGACGGGUAGCCGGCCUGAGAGGGUGACCGGCCACACUGGGACUGAGAUACGGCCCAGACUCCUACGGGAGGCAGCAGUGGGGAAUAUUGCACAAUGGGCGCAAGCCUGAUGCAGCGACGCCGCGUGAGGGAUGACGGCCCUCGGGUUGUAAACCUCUUUCAGCACCGACGAAGCGCAAGUGACGGUAGGUGCAGAAGAAGGACCGGCCAACUACGUGCCAGCAGCCGCAGUAA
rnacentral:rRNA from 1 species